ACACAGUGUCUGUGCCAGGGUGAGGGACAAAGUGUAGUGAGGGGAAAGCCACUCUGCUUAGGAGUAGGGCCACUCCAGGAUGGUGAAUUCUUAGGUGGACAGGGCAUAAGGCCAGGGAGUUUGAGGAUAUUUUUUCCAGAUCUCUCACUGCACCCUCCCAGAUUAUUCCCCUGGGGGAGCGACAGCUGCAGCAAGACCCAAGAUGUGUCGGAAGAGCCUGCUGGGACAAAGGCAGGCAGACACCAACUGUAUUCAUGCUCAUCUUAUGCCUCUUCCCUCUGCUGCUCCUAUCAGAAGCAUAAGGCACUGGCCCAAACAGAAAAAUGCGACCUUACACCUAGGCUUGACAAUUUUCAAACUGUAAGCAUGACUCUGUGAGGCUCCCAGCAACCAAAGGGACCAGGACAAGGGACUCCCACAGGACAGAUGGGCAUGCAGAGCUCAGGAAGGAUUGUGACUUGCUACAAGUCACCUGCAGCUUCCAUGCCAGUGUUUUUCCCACCCCUGCAUGUGGCCUUGUCCAGUGGAGAAGAACAUCUCCUUGUCUCUUCCACUUCCACUACUCCUUCAGUACAUCAUGGGAAGUCUUGUGAAAGAAAGCAAUAUUGAAACUGUUUUCCUGGCUGGGAUGAGUAAGAAUCUGGAGUGUGUUACUGUAAAGCCAUCUCUCGUUCAUCUUCUCAUUUAAUUAAAAAAAUUUAAAACCCAGUGCUCACCCAGGUCCAGCUAUGGGCUCCCAGGUAGCAGGGGAGAGAUAUGCUCUGAAUUAGCAAUGCAGGGCUGGACCUGCCAACCAUAACCCCAGGACGGUCCUCAUACCAUUCUGAUGGGCAAACUGGAAAAAGAUGAUACACCAGAUUACGCCACUGCAAGGCAGGCUUAUGGACAAUACACCCAAUAAACAAGCCCAGGGCUUUAAUUAAAAUGUCCCAGCUCUUCUGAUGUUUAUCUUGGUGUCAGAGUGGGGCUUGGGAAAACAGUGGUCUGGCUGAUGUUUACACACCUUGAGCUAUAUCGAGGCACUGCAUGGACAGCAUCCAGUAAUAAUAGGCAGCAUCAUUAAACCUGCUCUCCGCCACGGCAUUGUUUGUGAGCUGCUCCAGCACCUGGACCGCUUCUCUCUGUCGCCCAGCCUUGUGGAACGCUGUAGGAGUGGUGGAGGGAGGAAAAAAGCACAUGCUAUUUAGGAAGUCACACAGGAGGCAGGAUGGAGCUCUGUGGGGCUUGCACAGGGCUGCUUUGGAAGUAGGACACUCAUUGGAGCAUCUGCAGUGCUUCGUUGCUGGGAUGGCGCUUCUCUAAAUAACCAAGGCUACAUCCUGGAAAAAGUACAGUGAGAUAAAUUCCUUUUUGGCUGGGAAAAGGCGACUGACUUUGAAAAGCAUGCAGAAAGGAAAAACUGGAGGGGCCAAAUUCCAGGGCAAAGUCUAAGAGUGAAACUUGCUCAUCUUCAGUGAGGUUCUGCCCCCUGCUCAUUCCAGGGCAAAGUUUUGUGACUCCUAAGGUGAUAGAAACAGGACCUGCCACUUUACUGCACUUGGAGGUAAAAUGCUUUUGUUGCUAAUCACCUCACUGGAUCCUCACCACAGACUUAUGAAGAAGGAAAAUUAUCCCCCUUUUUAUGAGCAAUGAAAUGGGCUUUGCAAAAUGGAGGUAAAGUGUCACACCCAAGGUCCCAGAACCAAGCCCAACUCAAGUCCUCAGUUUGUCUUCAAAUGACUGCUUUUCAAUGACCACUUUGAAGGAUCUGCCUCAGUUAUCACAACCAUUUGUGAAAACAAGCAAAAAAACUCUCAAUCGUUCCUAUACUGUUUAACAGAUAUUUUCUGAGUACCUACUACGUGGCCAGCCCCUUGAGAUGUUGGUGGCUGCCAGUGAAGCACUUGUAGCCAUGACACUUGCCAUAUGAGAGCACUCAAAUGAUCCUAAUCCUCCGCCUUCAGAGAAGGAGAAGGUCUGGCCUUUGUUCCGUUCUCAUCUACAACCUCUUGUCUGAGUACCAAGUUACUAUGGUGAUGGAUUCUUGGAAGGGCAGACACAGACAGAUGGAUAGGUUGAUGUGUUUUGCCCAAACAUGCAGAUACUUCAGCAACUGGGUGCUCUGGAAAUGCUGAAGCAGCAGAGAAUGCGCUAACCUUCAAUGAGGGCUUUCGGUUGAGGGGCUCCAACAGGGAGACAUUUGUUCUGCAAUGUGUCCAGAGAGGGCAACGGUUACCAUAUAGAAGCGUAAAUCAGAUGCUAUGGAACAUCAAACACCCAACUUCCAUUAGAAGGCUAAAUAGGCAGCAAAACAGAAAAAUCAGGUUCCCCAGUCAGAGAGGUACUGGUCCAAUUCUGGCUCUGCUGCUGACUAGAUUUGUGACUUGGCAUGGCACAUUUAGCCUCUUCGUCCUUGCACAGCUGUUGGCAAGAUUCAAGGUUACAUAGGUUAAGUGCUCAGCCAGGGCCUGACACAGAGAGGGAAGUCAACUUUAAAAAAUAUGAUUAAUAACAUCAGCGAAAGUUCUAUACUUGCUUUAACUCCUAUUUCAGAUGCUGUUGUACGCUGUGUGCAGCCCAUUUUACCAACAGAAUUCUUGAGGAGCAGAAGUCACCCGUUUAUCUGAGCCAGAAAUAGAAGCUGAGUUUCUAUUCUCAGUAGAGACCAUGCCUCACACUGUGUGGCAAUCCUCCCUUAUUGUCCUCAUGGUACCCUGGCUCACAUUACCUCCCUGCCACUUCCUAGCUAUGAAACUUCAGGCAAAUUUCUUCACCUCUUUACCCUUCAGUUUUCUCAUCUGCAAAAUGGGAAUCAUAAUGAUGGUAGCUAUACCAUAGGGCUGUUGCGAGGAUUAAACGGGAAGAUACACUGCAGUGCACAGCACUUUGCUCAGUAACCACAGAGGCUUGGAGAGGAGGCAGCACCUCUUAAGGGCCUGUGGCAAGUGAGUGUGGCCCAGGAGGGUGUGACUCCAAGGCCAAUGGUCUUUCCAUGCUCCACAGUCUUUCACCACCAAACAAUCACAUCCCCAGGAUGAAGUCAUCUAUCUUGGGAUCUACAGAUGGGAAGGGCUUGGUAGCCUUCCUGAAAUGUAUGUCUUGGCAGUAACUUCUCCUGCUCCUUCUAGAAGGUGACAGUCUGUGUUGCCUACCUUUCUGGGCUUCCUCAAAGCGAUCGUUCUCUGCUAGCCACUGAGCAUACGGCAUGUAGAUGUCAUCCUUAAACUCAGGAUGCUUCUCACCCAAAGCAAAGGCCUGGGGGAAGGAGCAAAUGAAGUCUUAAUAAAGCUGCCCCUGCAGCCCCCAUGAAAACACUGUACUUGGCUGAAUCCAUUAGGGACAUCAUAUUUUGCCAGCCUGACAACUCAGAGGGGGAGAGUGCCUCCCCCAAAAAACUACCCACAGAAAUGCAAAAACAAAUCAGCUCUUCGAAAACAAAAGGCAAUUAACAGCAAUAUGCAAGCGACUGGAUUCAGUAACAACACAGUCUGUUUCUGGACCACAGAAGCGGCACAGAAUCGGAAACAUUUUAUUUUGAGGGUUUGCGUGGGCUCCUGUAGUGCUGCAAACAGAUUUCUUUUAAUUGCGGGCGACACCUAAGGAAACAGAAUUGACAUUAUCAUCAUCACCACUUCUUAUCAGUUGUCAAAGAUGACUGUGGGCUUCGUGCUGUAUGGACCCACUGACUGCUUCUCACCUAAGCCCCAGAACCACCUGUCAGGCCAGGAGAACCGGACAUGAGCCAUGGUGAGAAAGUCUGCCUGAUGCACAGCGAGGUCUGAGUCAUUCUAAGAUGCUCUAAUCUAUGCUGCUUGGGAAAUCUAAUAAAUUUCUCUUGAGAAGCCAC
rnacentral:lncRNA from 10 species